rnacentral:rRNA from 1 species
CGACGUAGGUAACCUGCCUGGUAGCGGGGGGUAACUAUUGGAAACGAUAGCUAAUACCGCAUAAUAUUAAUUAUUGCAUGAUAAUUAACUGAAAGGUGCAAUUGCACCACUACCAGAUGGACCUGCGUUGUAUUAGCUAGUAGGUGAGGUAACGGCUCACCUAGGCGACGAUACAUAGCCGACCUGAGAGGGUGAUCGGCCACACUGGGACUGAGACACGGCCCAG